CACAAUGGCUUUCAAAUUCAAAGCCCUGUCUCCCCACCCUACUUUGAUAGAAAUCAUUGUUUUCAGACCCUACCUUGCACCUUAAUUUCUCCUCUGCUUCCCUUUCAACAUGCACAAAAUGAAAAUACUAGUCCCCAUUUCGCAAAUUAGUUACUGUGUCAGAUGUACAAUGUUUAUAAUAGACUAGAUCUCUGAUAUUGCCCCUAUAUUUUGGUCCACAUUCUGGGAUUAGGUAAUAUGGAAACAUUUUUAUGGAAACAAACAGCUGUUUAUAGAAGUUUUGGUGAAUAGUUAAGGUAUGUAUAAACAUUUGUAACAAGUGUUUUGCCACUCAUUCCUGCUUAUCAAGAUACCUGCCACUGCUGGCCCAGCUACAUUUUUUCCUCAGCUAACACACAGAACCACCAGGGCACAAAAAUCUGAGUCGGGUGUAGUGGCACAUGCUGGGAUAACAACCAGGCUGAGGCAGAAGGAACAUGAGUCCAAAGCCAGCCUCACCAAAAGCAAGGCACUAAGCAACUCAGACCUUGUCUCUAAAUAAAAUACAAAAUAGGGCUGUGGAUGUGGCUCAGUGGUCAAGUGCCCCUGAGUUCUAUAUCUGGCAAAAAAACCCCAUUCCUGCCCCCCCCCCCCAAAAAAAAAAAAGCCCUGAACUACUGUUUUCAAAAAAAAAGUUUUGGUACUGGGGAUUUAGUGCAGGUAUGCCUUUACCACUGAGCUGCCUUUGAAUUUGCGAUACACCUGCCUCAGCCUUCUAAGCCACUGAGAUUAUACGUGUGUGUCACUCCACCCAGCUCCAGUAAAAUAAGUUGUGAAAAACUUCAGGUAAUUAACACCCAAUUUUUUUCUUGCCACCAAAUUUGAAAAUUGCAAAGUAACUCAGUGAGACCCUGUCCCAAUACAAAAAAGGGCUGGGGAUGUGGCUCA
rnacentral:lncRNA from 1 species